rnacentral:rRNA from 1 species
AUUGCACGCUGGCGGCAGGCCUAACACAUGCAAGUCGAACGAGUGGCGGACGGGUGAGUAAUGUCUGGGACACUGCCUGAUGGAGGGGGAUAACUCCUGGAAACGGUAGCUAAUACCGCAUCCCAUCCGAUGUUCCCAGAUGGGAUUCGCUUGUUGGUGGGGUAACGGCUCACCAAGGCGACGAUCCCUAGCUGGUCUGAGCGGAUGACCAGCAAAACUUGAACUGAGAGACGGUCAAGACUCCUACGGGAGGCAGAAGUGGGGAAUAGUGAACAAUGGGCGCAAGACUGAUGCAGCCAUGCCGCGUGUAUGAAGAAGGCCUUCGGGUUGUAAAGUACUUUCAGCGGGGAGGCGUUACCAGCAGAAGGAGCACGGGCGAACGCCGUGCCAGGAGCCGCGGUAAUUC